UCCCAAAGUCAUGGUUAAGUGGGAAACGAUGUGGGAAGGCCCAGACAGCCAGGAUGUUGGCUUAGAAGCAGCCAUCAUUUAAAGAAAGCGUAAUAGCUCACUGGUCGAGUCGGCCUGCGCGGAAGAUGUAACGGGGCUAAACCAUGCACCGAAGCUGCGGCAGCGACACUGUGUGUUGUUGGGUAGGGGAGCGUUCUGUAAGCCUGUGAAGGUGUGUCGUGAGGCAUGCUGGAGGUAUCAGAAGUGCGAAUGCUGACAUAAGUAACGAUAAAGCGGGUGAAAAGCCCGCUCGCCGGAAGACCAAGGGUUCCUGUCCAACGUUAAUCGGGGCAGGGUGAGUCGACCCCUAAGGCGAGGCCGAAAGGCGUAGUCGAUGGGAAACGGGUUAAUAUUCCCGUACUUGGUGUUACUGCGAAGGGGGGACGGAGAAGGCUAUGUUGGCCGGGCGACGGUUGUCCCGGUUUAAGCGUGUAGGUGUGUGUUCCAGGUAAAUCCGGUUCACUUUAACACUGAGGCGUGACGACGAGGCACUACGGUGCUGAAGCAACAAAUGCCCUGCUUCCAGGAAAAGCCUCUAAGCAUCAGGUAACAUCAAAUCGUACCCCAAACCGACACAGGUGGUCAGGUAGAGAAUACCAAGGCGCUUGAGAGAACUCGGGUGAAGGAACUAGGCAAAAUGGUGCCGUAACUUCGGGAGAAGGCACGCUGACACGUAGGUGAAGUGAUUUACUCAUGGAGCUGAAGUCAGUCGAAGAUACCAGCUGGCUGCAACUGUUUAUUAAAAACACAGCACUGUGCAAACACGAAAGUGGACGUAUACGGUGUGACGCCUGCCCGGUGCCGGAAGGUUAAUUGAUGGGGUCAGCGCAAGCGAAGCUCCUGAUCGAAGCCCCGGUAAACGGCGGCCGUAACUAUAACGGUCCUAAGGUAGCGAAAUUCCUUGUCGGGUAAGUUCCGACCUGCACGAAUGGCGUAAUGAUGGCCAGGCUGUCUCCACCCGAGACUCAGUGAAAUUGAACUCGCUGUGAAGAUGCAGUGUACCCGCGGCAAGACGGAAAGACCCCGUGAACCUUUACUAUAGCUUGACACUGAACAUUGAGCCUUGAUGUGUAGGAUAGGUGGGAGGCUUUGAAGUGUGGACGCCAGUCUGCAUGGAGCCGACCUUGAAAUACCACCCUUUAAUGUUUGAUGUUCUAACGUGGACCCGUUACCCGGGUUGCGGACAGUGUCUGGUGGGUAGUUUGACUGGGGCGGUCUCCUCCUAAAGAGUAACGGAGGAGCACGAAGGUUGGCUAAUCCUGGUCGGACAUCAGGAGGUUAGUGCAAUGGCAUAAGCCAGCUUGACUGCGAGCGUGACGGCGCGAGCAGGUGCGAAAGCAGGUCAUAGUGAUCCGGUGGUUCUGAAUGGAAGGGCCAUCGCUCAACGGAUAAAAGGUACUCCGGGGAUAACAGGCUGAUACCGCCCAAGAGUUCAUAUCGACGGCGGUGUUUGGCACCUCGAUGUCGGCUCAUCACAUCCUGGGGCUGAAGUAGGUCCCAAGGGUAUGGCUGUUCGCCAUUUAAAGUGGUACGCGAGCUGGGUUUAGAACGUCGUGAGACAGUUCGGUCCCUAUCUGCCGUGGGCGCUGGAGAACUGAGGGGGGCUGCUCCUAGUACGAGAGGACCGGAGUGGACGCAUCACUGGUGUUCGGGUUGUCAUGCCAAUGGCACUGCCCGGUAGCUAAAUGCGGAAGAGAUAAGUGCUGAAAGCAUCUAAGCACGAAACUUGCCCCGA
rnacentral:rRNA from 2 species